ACGUAAUAUGCAAGCGUUAUUCGGAAUCACUGGGCGUAAAGGGUGCGUAGGCGGUGAAUUAAGUCGGAUGUGAAAUCCUACGGCUCAACCGUAGAAUUGCGUUCGAAACUGAUUGACUAGAAUCAGAGAAGGGAAGGCGGAAUUCCUGGUGUAGGAGUGAAAUCUAUAGAUAUCAGGAAGAACACCGGUGGCGAAGGCGGCCUUCUGGCUUAUGAUUGACGCUGAGGCACGAAAGUGUGGGGAGCGAACGG
rnacentral:rRNA from 1 species